GAUGAACGCUGGCGGCGUGCCUAAUACAUGCAAGUCGAGCGAACGGACGAGAAGCUUGCUUCUCUGAUGUUAGCGGCGGACGGGUGAGUAACACGUGGAUAACCUACCUAUAAGACUGGGAUAACUUCGGGAAACCGUAGCUAAUACCGGAUAAUAUUUUGAACCGCAUGGUUCAAAAGUGAAAGACGGUCUUGCUGUCACUUAUAGAUGGAUCCGCGCUGCAUUAGCUAGUUGGUAAGGUAACGGCUUACCAAGGCAACGAUGCAUAGCCGACCUGAGAGGGUGAUCGGCCACACUGGAACUGAGACACGGUCCAGACUCCUACGGGAGGCAGCAGUAGGGAAUCUUCCGCAAUGGGCGAAAGCCUGACGGAGCAACGUCGCGUGAGUGAUGAAGGUCUUCGGAUCGUAAAACUCUGUUAUUAGGGAAGAACAGAUGUGUAAGUAACUGUGCACAUCUUGACGGUACCUAAUCAGAAAGCCACGGCUAACUACGUG
rnacentral:rRNA from 1 species